UUGUAUGGAGCCUCACCUGCUACAGUCCCCCCAAGAAAGAGCUGUAACUUGUGCAGCAAAGGAAGAGCUGGAAAACACCGAACCCAAAGCCCUUAGGCAGCACACAUUUACAAAUGGAACUGAGCCACUGUCCAUGAAUUGGUUAAGAAUACUUAAAAAGCUCAAAGUCAUAUAGAAAGGGAAGAAAAGGAAGUUAAAAGCAGUACUGUAAGGCAAAGAGGAUAUGGAAUAAGGAUAAUGCUUAUCUGCUACAGAGACACUGCCUGCUACUGGAAUCAGAACCAGCAGCUGAAGCUCCGCAUUGUUCUCACCCUUCUGAAGUAAACUGCCUAGCUCAACUUCUGGGAGGAGGAAAGAAGAAACCCGCCCAAGGGGUACCUGCACAGAAACUCUAAGCUACACACAGAGGGCUCUCCACCCCACCUAGGCACUGCCUGGCUACCAAGCCGUCCAGCAGAAAACUCUGUAUGCAACCUGCCUGGCAGCUGGCAGCAGGGACGCACUAAGCAGGUGAAGCGUUCAGCAAGGGCAGAUCUCUUUCCAAAGCCACAGCGCUUGGCUGCAGUUGUGAGGUGCAGAGAGCAGCCGGGGGUUGCUGGUGUGCAAGCACAGCAGGCUCAGCGGGCACACGGCCCCGGGCAGCACCUGCGCCUCCC